AUUGAGCGCUGGCGGCAUGCUUUACACAUGCAAGUCGAACGGUAACAGGCCGCAAGGUGCUGACGAGUGGCGAACGGGUGAGUAAUGCAUCGGAACGUGCCCAGUCGUGGGGGAUAACGCAGCGAAAGCUGUGCUAAUACCGCAUACGAUCUAGGGAUGAAAGCGGGGGACCGUAAGGCCUCGCGCGAUUGGAGCGGGCGAUGUCAGAUUAGGUAGUUGGUGGGGUAAAGGCCUACCAAGCCGACGAUCUGUAGCUGGUCUGAGAGGACGACCAGCCACACUGGGACUGAGACACGGCCCAGACUCCUACGGGAGGCAGCAGUGGGGAAUUUUGGACAAUGGGCGCAAGCCUGAUCCAGCAAUGCCGCGUGCAGGAAGAAGGCCUUCGGGUUGUAAACUGCUUUUGUACGGAACGAAACGGUCUGGGUUAAUACCCCGGGCUAAUGACGGUACCGUAAGAAUAAGCACCGGCUAACUACGUGCCAGCCGCCGCGGUAACAC
rnacentral:rRNA from 1 species